rnacentral:rRNA from 1 species
GAUCUUAGCGGCGGACGGGUGAGUAAUGCUUAGGAAUCUGCCUAUUAGUGGGGGACAACAUUUCGAAAGGAAUGCUAAUACCGCAUACGUCCUACGGGAGAAAGCAGGGGAUCUUCGGACCUUGCGCUAAUAGAUGAGCCUAAGUCGGAUUAGCUAGUUGGUGGGGUAAAGGCCUACCAAGGCGACGAUCUGUAGCGGGUCUGAGAGGAUGAUCCGCCACACUGGGACUGAGACACGGCCCAGACUCCUACGGGAGGCAGCAGUGGGGAAUAUUGGACAAUGGGCGCAAGCCUGAUCCAGCCAUGCCGCGUGUGUGAAGAAGGCCUUAUGGUUGUAAAGCACUUUAAGCGAGGAGGAGGCUACUUUAGAUAAUACCUAGAGAUAGUGGACGUUACUCGCAGAAUAAGCACCGGCUAACUCUGUGCCAGCAGCCGCGGUAAUACAGAGGGUGCAAGCGUUAAUCGGAUUUACUGGGCGUAAAGCGCGCGUAGGCGGCUAAUUAAGUCAAAUGUGAAAUCCCCGAGCUUAACUUGGGAAUUGCAUUCGAUACUGGUUAGCUAGAGUGUGGGAGAGGAUGGUAGAAUUCCAGGUGUAGCGGUGAAAUGCGUAGAGAUCUGGAGGAAUACCGAUGGCGAAGGCAGCCAUCUGGCCUAACACUGACGCUGAGGUGCGAAAGCAUGGGGAGCAAACAGGAUUAGAUACCUGGUAGUCCAUGCCGUAACGAUGUCUACUAGCCGUGGGGCCUUUGAGGCUUUAGUGGC